AAAUUGAAGAGUUUGAUCAUGGCUCAGAUUGAACGCUGGCGGCAGGCCUAACACAUGCAAGUCGAACGGUAACAGGAAGAAGCUUGCUUCUUUGCUGACGAGUGGCGGACGGGUGAGUAAUGUCUGGGAAACUGCCUGAUGGAGGGGGAUAACUACUGGAAACGGUAGCUAAUACCGCAUAACGUCGCAAGACCAAAGAGGGGGACCUUCAGGCCUCUUGCCAUCGGAUGUGCCCAGAUGGGAUUAGCUAGUAGGUGGGGUAA
rnacentral:rRNA from 1 species